rnacentral:rRNA from 1 species
AUUGAACGCUGGCGGCAGGCCUAACACAUGCAAGUCGAGCGGAUGAAGGGAGCUUGCUCCUGGAUUCAGCGGCGGACGGGUGAGUAAUGCCUAGGAAUCUGCCUGGUAGUGGGGGAUAACGUCCGGAAACGGGCGCUAAUACCGCAUACGUCCUGAGGGAGAAAGUGGGGGAUCUUCGGACCUCACGCUAUCAGAUGAGCCUAGGUCGGAUUAGCUAGUUGGUGGGGUAAAGGCCUACCAAGGCGACGAUCCGUAACUGGUCUGAGAGGAUGAUCAGUCACACUGGAACUGAGACACGGUCCAGUCUCCUACGGGAGGCAGCAGUGGGGAAUAUUGGACAAUGGGCGAAAGCCUGAUCCAGCCAUGCCGCGUGUGUGAAGAAGGUCUUCGGAUUGUAAAGCACUUUAAGUUGGGAGGAAGGGCAGUAAGUUAAUACCUUGCUGUUUUGACGUUACCAACAGAAUAAGCACCGGCUAACUUCGUG